UUUUCUCGGCUACAAAUUAUUCGACUUUGCCAAAUUUUCUACUACUAAUAAUAUGUAUAUAUGCAAGAGUAAUUUCAUUUUCUCGUACCCAAUUUCAAUUCCUACUAGUAUACUGCUAAAUUAAGAUUUAUUUUUUACCAAUAUCUAGCGCCAACAUCCCAUAUCUUCCCACCUCCCUAAUUUCGAUCAAAGCCUAGUGUUGCCACCCUAUCUUCCCCCUCUUCUCCAACUCACCGCCCCACCUAAGCAUGCCAUAAGAAGCCCGCGUGAGCGUUAGGAUGGGGGUGACAGGGCCAUCUUCACCCCCUUCAAGACGACGGAUGUGACGGCAUCUAUGUUAGGCGACGCCCUCCUCAGCGAUAGCCUCAUGUGGUGGUCUGAUGGCAUCGAUUGUUUGAGCCUGGCGAUGCUUCGAUUCAUGGCCAAAAGGCCGGAUCCAUCGGCAACGCCCUGGAUCCAGGCAGCAGCAAGGCUCGUGCAUGAUGGCUUGGGUAGUGCGAUUUCAUGAGCUGUGGCGUGAGGAGUGUUGCAACGCUGGUCAUGUGGUGGUGACAUGUGGCCACCGACAGCAGCUCUCGUUCAUGAUGGGAUAGAGAUUCACCUGUUCUUUUGUUGCCUAUGUCUGCCUCCUCUUAGCUCCCUCCGGGUGCCACAACAAAUGUGGCGUGAUGAUGAGGAGAUCCUGGCAAUUAUUGGUGGAAACAACGUGGUGCUCCUACAAGAUUUCUUCAUGUAUGAGCUGGUUGUGGAUGUGGAGUGGGCAGGAAUCGCUGGCGAAAGCUUUUCCCUACCGUUAGCCAAAUAUGACGAUGGUGAAAAUAUUUCUCCAACUUUUGGAUGACUAGCGACGAAUCACAUCGCAUCCUCCGGGGGGCUUCGCUUCGGAGAACCUUCUUCGUGUAGCAGAUGUCGUGGAUGGGAUCCUAUUUCGCUCAUAGCCAGUUGAUGGUCCCCAUUGUUUGUUCCUCGCAUUUUGCGACUACACUUGGACGAGCAACUGAUUUGCAAUGUAGUUACAUGAUACCUUUCGCUUCGGUUUGAUGUUGUCGGUGGCGAUGUGCAAGAGUUUCGAUUGGCGCUGAUUUCGGGGAGUAAACAAGGAUUACAUGCAACAAGCAUGGUUUUCAUUAACUAUGUAGUCCCCCAUCCCAAAAUAUAAGAACAUAGGACUGGAUGUGGCAUCUUGCAUGUCCAGAUUCGUAGUACUAGAAAAUGUCACAUUCGGUCCUAGGUUCUUAUAUUUUGGGACGGAGGGAGUAUUAUGUUCUCUAUGUCUUUAGGAUGGUGAUUCAAUUAAUUUACCAAACUAUGAUAUGUAAUCUAAGGAUCUCUUAUUGCAUUAUGGAUGGCGUAAUUCUAUUAGAAUUGCUGACUAAAAAAUCUAUGUGGUUUAUCGCUACUCAAUAAUAAAGGGGAGUUGGAAAUUUGUUCCAUCACUUUAUUUCUCAUUUUGAUUUAUUUUUAUCUUUACCUUUUCUUUAACAAACUUAUGGUUGUGUGUCUUUUGACAGAAGCCGGAGAUGUAAUCUAUUUCCAUUAUCUAAAA